AGAGGAGGAAGCCACGGCUAACUACGUGCCAGCAGCCGCGGUAAUACGUAGGUGGCGAGCGUUGUCCGGAUUUACUGGGCGGAAAGGGUGCGUAGGCGGAUGUUUAAGUGGGAUGUGAAAUCCCCGGGCUUAACCUGGGGGCUGCAUUCCAAACUGGAUAUCUAGAGUGCAGGAGAGGAAAGCGGAAUUCCUAGUGUAGCGGUGAAAUG
rnacentral:rRNA from 1 species